AUGGGCUCUUGGACCCUCUGUGUGUCCCUUUAUAUCCUGGUAGCGACACACACAGAUGCUGGUGUUAUCCAGUCACCCAGGCACAAAGUGACAGAGAUGGGACAAUCAGUAACUCUGAGAUGCGAACCAAUUUCAGGCCACAAUGAUCUUCUCUGGUACAGACAGACCUUUGUGCAGGGACUGGAAUUGCUGAAUUACUUCUGCAGCUGGACCCUCGUAGAUGACUCAGGAGUGUCCAAGGAUUGAUUCUCAGCACAGAUGCCUGAUGUAUCAUUCUCCACUCUGAGGAUCCAGCCCAUGGAACCCAGGGACUUGGGCCUAUAUUUCUGUGCCAGCAGCUUUGC